UACGUAGGGUGCGAGCGUUAAUCGGAAUUACUGGGCGUAAAGUGUGCGCAGGCGGCCGCGCAAGUCGAGUGUGAAAUCCCCGAGCUUAACUUGGGAAUUUGCGCUCGAAACUACGUGGCUGGAGUGUGGCAGAGGAAGGUGGAAUUCCACGUGUAGCGGUGAAAUGCGUAGAUAUGUGGAGGAACACCGAUGGCGAAGGCAGCCUUCUGGGCCAACACUGACGCUCAUGCACGAAAGCGUGGGGAGCAAACAGGA
rnacentral:rRNA from 1 species